GUGACGUCGAGUAGAUCACUGUGGUAUAUUCAUAUACCUAAAUUGAACACCGUAUGAGAAAGUUAUUAAGGAUUGUUGGUUAGGUGUUCAAAUAACGUUUUAUAGUUUUCACAUUUAGGUGAAAAUGUGAAUUGAUGAUCCGACCGUUGGAUCAUCACCAAACCUUGAUACGUUGUAAUACGUAAUAUUUGAGGAUUAUUGGAACUUACAGAUUGGGAAUCCGAUUUGCGGAUCUUCCGGAAUUGGAAUUGUAAGUCCAUAAUAUAAAAUGUUAACCGUCACUUAGUUUUGGAAAUUGACGGAGAUCCGACCGUUGGAUGGUAAUGAAAUUUUAGGAUGUUAUCCUAGAGAUAUAUUGUGGACCUCUGGAAGUUAUGGAUUUAAAAUCUGAGGGGUGGAUCUUCCGGAUCAAUCUACGUAGUGACGUAUUUUAUAUAAGUUAUAUAUUCUAUCGAUAUGAAUUCUGAGGUUGGAUUUGAUUACUAUUCUAGGCGGCGAUCGUCGUGACGCCUUGUUGUGAGGUGCUAGGGAGUUGUUGGACGAACUCCAGGUGAGUGGGCAGUUUUGUUUUCCGUAUAUAUAUAUAUACUUAACGUUUUCCCAGAAAUUGAAAAUGCAUGAAAUUAUGUUUAAAAUGAAAUGCAUAUGAGUUAUGUGGAAAAACGGGAAGUGAAAUACCAUGCAUAGAAUUGAUAUGAAAAGUAUAUAGAAAUGUGAGUUGAAAUGCCAUGCAUGAAUUAAUAUAUAUGAUGCAUAUGUAUGAAUUGGUGCGGUGGACGCACAAGUAAGAAUUGAUUUAUGAUGCAUAUGUAUGAAUUGGUGCGGUGGACGCACAGGUAAGAAUUGAUUUAUGAUGCAUAUGUAUGAAUUGGUGCGGUGGACGCACAGGUAAGAAUUGAUUUAUGAUGCAUAUGUAUGAAAUGGUGCGGUGGACGCACAGAUGAGUAUUUAAUUACUGUUAUGAUGAUGAUGAUGAUAUAUAUAUUGAGCUCAAAUCCUGCACCAUGGUUUAGUGCUUAUAUAGUAUUCACCGCAUCGCACGCUCGCCUUGGAUCCAAGUAGAUGCUAGUCGUACAGUCCACGCGGAGUGGGUACGACAGACCAGUCGCGAGAGUGUUAGUGAGAUUCCGACUGGUGGGUGACCUUAGAUUAUGUGCACAGAUGAUUUAUGAGAAGCACUAGAGCGUAACUUGCGUUGCAGAAGGCCGGACGGGUCACAGAGGUGACUCCGGUAGAGUGAUAAUGAUAGAUUUUGAGCUCUAGGUUCAACCGUACAGGGCUAUUAGAGGGCCUACGGUUGAUUACUUUCUUGCACCUGAUAUGAUUAUGUUGAUGCAUUCAUACCUUAUUACUGUUGAGAUGAUGUGGCAUGGCAUAAUUAAUAUGAGAAAUGUUGAGAUGAUGUGGCAUGGCAUAACUGAUAUGAAAAAUGUUGAAAAAGUGAAAUGAAGUAUUGAGAAUAUAUAUGUAUAUUUAUAUUUUACAUUUCUGGGAAAGUAUACAGGUUUUACGGAGAGGGGUUACAACGUUAUGAGAAAUGUUUGGAUUUGGAAAAGAAUUGUUUUACUGACCCACUCAAUUUUGGUUUUGCGCCCCUCCAGGUUCAGGAAUCACAAAGGUGUGGUGACUACGAGGAAUACGGCGGGGUUCUGACAGAUUGACAAAAUUAGGACUCACCUUCGGGUGUAUCAACUUAUAAAUUGUAUCUUAAAGCUUCCGUACUGUGCAAAUGGUUACGUCACUCUCACGUGACGGCCAGCAUGCCCUCAUUCGGGACGGGGUGUGUCAGUUGGUAUCAGAGCAUGGUUGCAAUCUUGGACAUCUUGAGAAGUUUCUAGUGAAUUCUGUCAGAACUACACCGCCUCGUAGCACACCACGUAGUUAGAGGAAUUUAGUCUCCCUAAUAUAGCGGUUUUGGGGGGAAACUAUUACUAUGGUGAUUCAGUCUAUUGUCUAAAGGGGCAUUUUAAGAUGGGUUAUGAGUUGAAUUUGAAUCACUUAAGAGAAAUGAUGAACCUGAGGGAGCGAAGUAACGGUUUAACCAUUUGGAAAAGAUGUUUCGGAUUAUGCAAGUCAAAGGAAUCUUCCUUCUGACAAGGGGUCGAGAUGACUACCUGGUUUGAGUAUGAACGUGUAUCUUGAUGGAAGCAGGAGUAUUAAUUGUUGUCACCAGAGGAAUCAGUCGAUUUAAAAUUGUUUAAGGACUUGUUUAAGGAAAAGUUUAUCCCUCCGGCAUUUAUCGAUGGUAGUAAACAAGAGUUUACAAAUAUGAGACAAGGAAGGUGAUGAUCGAGGGAUAUUAUAGAAAGUUUUCAGACUUGCCUCGUUCCAUCCAGAUAUUGUUGUUAAUUUGGUGGAGGUGUUAUGUUGUUUUAAGCUGGGUGGCAAAAAGGGAAGUGGUAUUUUGGGUGACCACUAUCCAUUAUACUUCUUACCAGGAAUAUACGAGAUGCUGUUGAGUCUUGAGGACUCUGAGAACAUGAGCAACGAGAAUAAAGAAGAAUAAGAAAUGAAUGGGAAUUAAAAGAAGACGAUAAAGUUAAUGAUUCGUCAUAUCAAGGAGAUAGAAAGAUUCAGAGCUUCGAAAGAAGUGAAGCUAGAGUUAAUUCUUCCAGCUGAGGUUUUAAUGUCGCUGGUCAGAGUAAAAGUGAUGGAUAUACUGGUAAUCCCAGAUAUUUGAGACAAGGUGUCUCGAGUAAAGGAAAUGUACCUUGUGCAGCAGGUACAAAAUUAACACUUUGGGAAGUGUGAAAUUAAUGAAUGUGUUUAUGUGAACAGAGGGGACACAGAAUUGUGAAUCGUCCCUAGAAUCAGUUGUACUCAAUAAUUUUCCAUGAUAUCAUAGUGUCGAUUCAGAAGAGUUAUAAACUUAGUAGUUUGGUCGGAUUGACUGUGAGUACAGAGAGAUUUGAUGAGUUAUAUGUUCAGCCGUACAGACCAUGAGAAGUGGAUUCGAUUGACACAUGAGAAAUUGGUGAGUUAUAGGCUCGGCCGUACCGACCACGCGGAGUGGAUCCGGCUGACGUAUUAUUGAGAUAAGAGUUGAAUCAACCGUAUUGGUCAUUCUAGUUGACUUCGGCUGAUAUAUUUCUUAUUAUGUAUGUUAUUACCUAGAGAGUAGUAAAUAAAUGUAGUUGAGACGAGUGUAUGUAUUUUGCCUUGAGUAACAAAAUAGUAAUGUUAUAUCUUUGAGAGUGGUUGCCUACUUAUCGAGACAACGAUGAUUUAUCAGUAUUGCGGGCUGCAGACCGUAAUAUUAAUAACUCAUUCGUGGAUUCGUUAAGCAAGCAAACCGGUAGGUUAUUUUAUGUUAGUGUUGUACUUAUUUAGAAUGCUUAAUAAUAAUAGAAUAUAUAUUGUAUCAGUUAAUUAUGUUCCAUUAGAUUGGUUGGUUAUAAUUGUGACAAGACGGAAUGUUACGGGAAACCAGUACUUUCCAUCGAUCUGGAUGACCAGAGAUUACUUUUGUAAGUAUGCAAAGUGGAUUGAGUCAGGCCGUUAUUUAUGCUGUGAGAGCAAAGAGAUUGUUUUCGAAAGGCUGUCAAAAAUACUUAGCUCAUGUGGUGCUAAAUGAUGUUGUUUGGAGUAGUGUGAAUAAUGUCGAAAGAGUUAGACUUUUCUUGAUGUCUUCCUUGAAAGUAUACCUGGAUUGCCUUCAGGCAGAGAUGAGGUUCAUUAUUGAUUUGUUGCCAGGUAUAAAUUUAUAUUGGAGAUUGGUUCAGGAUGAGUUAAGGGAAUUGGAAAUUCAGUUGAAAGAAUUGGUUGAUAAAAGUUUCAUUCAACCUAGUACAACACUUUUGAGGAGCCCCAGUUUGUUGGUGAGAAAGAAAAUGGACUUAGAGAUUGUUCAUUGAUUAUAGACAAUGAAGUCGGGUAACGAUUAAGAACCGUUAUCUAUGGUGAUGUACUGAUGUUUAUUUAACCAGCUCAGAAGUAAUUGCGAAGAUUCAAAGAUUGAAUUGAGAUCUGGUUACUACCAAUUGAAUAUUAUAAGUGACGUUGAUCAUAAGAUGGUUUCUGGACUUGUUAUGAUCCUUAUAAAGUUUGGUGAUGCUAUGUGGAUACUCAUGCGGUUUUAUGAGUUGAUGGAUGAAGUAUUCCAAUAAUGCCUUGAUAAUUGAUAUCAUUUUCAUUGAAGAUAUUCUGGCAUAUUCUGAGCCAGAGCAGAGCAUGUAAACGUAUUAAGUCGGUAGAACAAAGAUUGGAAGAAUGUCGAUUGUAUGCUAAGUUUAGCAAAUGCGAAUGUUGGAUGAAUCAAGCAGCAUUUCUGGGAUAUGUUAUAUAUUCUUAAGGUAUUCAAGUGAAUCCUUAAAAGGUAACAGAAAUUAAAAUUUGGAACAACCACGAGUCGUAAUUGAGAUUUGGAAUUUCUUAGCUUACCAGGCUAUCUUGGAUGGUUGUGAAAGAUUUUUUCAGUCAUUGCUUUGUCAUUGACGAGACUGUUGAGAAAAGAGGUUAGGUAUGAGUGGGAAGGAAUUGUAAGCAAAGGAUUCAACAACUGAAGUAUUUCCACACUCAUGCACGUAUUUUGGUAUUCCCAGAGAAUAGUGGUAAUCAUAAAUUUUUAGUGAUGUUUCUUGAAUGGUAUUGGAGGCAUGUUGAUGCAAAUGUUAGGGUGAUUGCAUACGUUUCACGAUAAAUGGAAUCUCAUAAGAUGAAUUACCCUACUGGUGAUUUGGAAGUCACGAUUACCAUUCUUGCUGUGAAGUUAUGGAGACAUUAUAUUUUAGUGGGAAUGCAAGAUUUUUUUUUUUACGAAUCCAAAAAGUCUUCAAUAUCCAUUACUUGGAAGGAUUUUGAUAUGAGGCAGCGAAAGUGAAUUGUAUUGCUUAAUGAACAUGAUUGUACGAUCAGGGUGAUCGUAAAGUUUGUUCUAGCUGAAGCACUUGGUGAGAAGACUACAGUAAGAUUAAUAUCUGGCAUGUUUGCCAAGAGUAUCAUCUUGUGGAUUGAAAACCAACGGAAGAAAAAUUAAGGAUGGAAGAUCGAGAAGAAGUUAUACUUGUUAAGUAACAAGUUAGUACAUUUACUCCAGUGUUGAGUAACAACCUUUCCCAGACAGUGCAACACUACUUAUUUGUUUUAUGGAAAAGAGAAUUGGAUUACGGAACUGCUAAGUUUCUUAAGUAUGUUGGUUGUGCAGUUUCCGAAGUAACGCCAUAAGGACCAUGAAAUGUGUCACGUGAGUCAGUUUUUGAUGACUUGUGAAUGGAAUGUUUCUGGGUAGAGAAAGAUUCGAUCAAGAAAGAGUUUUAGUAGACCCUGAGACUAUGGAUGAGUCUCCUCAAAGUAUUCAGGUGAUUAAGUUAACCUGAAGUAACCAGGAAUGGCAAAAGAGAUCAACAGAUGGAUAUGCCACUAAUCGAGUGUGUAAGGUAAAUGGUUUGAUAUUUUUGGAAAAUUCACCACGAACAGAAAUGACGAGAAUUGGAAAAGAGACAAGAUAAGAUUUAGACACAUCAGACCAUUUUUUUUAUCACUAAAGGAAUCAAUAAAGUUGCAUACAAGUUUGUGAUGCCUUCAGAAUUGGCUAAGGCACAUAAUGUAUUUUGUGUUCGAUGCGUUGUCACUAAGUGGCAGGGUCGUUACAUGGGACUUUGGUGCAACUAUUGAGAAUUAAGCCGGAUAUGAUUGGUGAGGAACUAAUGUCGACGUUGGAUUGGAAAAAGAAGGUCCUAAGAAUUAAGACAGAGUAAGUAGUAAAAGCUUUGUGAAGGAAAUCAUUCAGUAGAAAAUUAUGUGGGAGAAAGAGAAUCGGAUGAGAUUUAUCCGAGGCUAUUGUAUGAGUAUAGAUGAUUUGGUUGGUUGCUGGAAUUUCGGGGACGAAAUUCUAUAAGGAGGGGAGAUUGUCACAGCCCGUCCCGGAAUUUUUAAUUCCGAGGACAUGAAAUUACGGAAAUGUCCCUAAUACGUGACUAAGGUAUAAUUUUCACGUUCGUUAUAUCUAAGCUCCAAAAAAAUUUGGUAAUUAGAGUGGAGACUUAGACUUAAAUUUUAUGAUGGAAUUUUAUGAAAUUGGGAUUGGUUUGGACAUGUGGGAUCCCCACACCUCAAAACCCUCCCCAUUUCCCGUAUACUGUCCUUCAUACUCUCUCUCUUCCUCAGACCUCACUCUCUCUCUCUCUCACCCUCUCGAACACACAGGCAACCACCCAAAACCACCUAAAACUUAUACCAACGUCGGAUUUAAAGCUACCAUGGCAUUCCUGAGGACUCCACGAUCACGUAGACACCAAUUUCAGGUAAGUUUUACUUCGGAAAACCUAGAUUCUAAACUCCCCGUGAAAGUGCACUGUUCAUGAUCUUCGAAUUGACUUUGUUUUAGGACAAUCCAAGCUCAUAGCAAGCUUGGUGAGGUCCCAAGGAAGCUCGGAGUGCUUCGUUGGAAGUUUUUGGACGUAAGAACACGGAGAUCGACAAGUUCAAAGUUUGGCCGGAGCUUUCGAGGCGUUUUCCGGCGAAUCCCCGGCGAGUUAGGAGUCAAGGUAGGUAUCAAUCUCUUCGUCUCGUCAAGUACUACAACUUUCCUUUUUGUUUCACUCAAUUUCGUUGAGUAUUGAAGAAGUUAUACGCAUUUGAAAAAUACCCAGUUUCCGGCGACCUCCGAGGCUUUCGAGGCAGUUUCCGGCCAAACCACGGCGAACUAGGUGUUGUGCAAGGUACCAUUAUCUUUUUCUCUUCAAGGGCUACAACUUUCGUUUUUGAAUCACUUGAUUUCGUUGAGAAAUGACAAAGUUAUGGCAAUUUGAAAAACUGCCCAGAAAACGGCCGCCGGAAAAACCAGUCCGGCGACCCAAGGAAGAAGAAGGUGCUACAGUAAAAAUAAAAAAUAAAAAUAAAAUUAUUUUAAAAAUAUAUGUCGACGUCCGUGACGUCGAGUAGAUCACUGUGGUAUAUUCAUAUACCUAAAUUGAACACCGUAUGAGAAAGUUAUUAAGGAUUGUUGGUUAGGUGUUCAAAUAACGUUUUAUAGUUUUCACAUUUAGGUGAAAAUGUGAAUUGAUGAUCCGACCGUUGGAUCAUCACCAAACCUUGAUACGUUGUAAUACGUAAUAUUUGAGGAUUAUUGGAACUUACAGAUUGGGAAUCCGAUUUGCGGAUCUUCCGGAAUUGGAAUUGUAAGUCCAUAAUAUAAAAUGUUAACCGUCACUUAGUUUUGGAAAUUGACGGAGAUCCGACCGUUGGAUGGUAAUGAAAUUUUAGGAUGUUAUCCUAGAGAUAUAUUGUGGACCUCUGGAAGUUAUGGAUUUAAAAUCUGAGGGGUGGAUCUUCCGGAUCAAUCUACGUAGUGACGUAUUUUAUAUAAGUUAUAUAUUCUAUCGAUAUGAAUUCUGAGGUUGGAUUUGAUUACUAUUCUAGGCGGCGAUCGUCGUGACGCCUUGUUGUGAGGUGCUAGGGAGUUGUUGGACGAACUCCAGGUGAGUGGGCAGUUUUGUUUUCCGUAUAUAUAUAUAUAC
rnacentral:lncRNA from 1 species